UAUACAAAAUUUUAUACGAAUCACGGCCCCCUUUUUUUAUUUCCUUAAUUGAAUUUCGUUUGAUUUUGAUUAGGGCAAAGUUACUUAAAAACCUCCGCCUUCUUUAAAAUAUCCCGAACAGUUCCUGUCGGCUGAGCGCCUUUUUCAAGGAAAUAUAGAAUAGCGGGAACAUUUAAACAACUUUGAUUCUUUAUCGGAUCAUAAAAACCCACUUUCCGAAGAUCUCUUCCUUCUCUUCGGGAUCGAACAUCAAUUGCAACGAUUCGAUAGACGGCUCAUUGGGAUAGAUGUUAGUAAAUGAACAAGACCCCCCCCCCUAGAAAUGUAUAGGAAGUUUUCUCCUCGUACGACUCGAGAAAAAAUGAUUCGAGGUUUUGUCUAUGUAUAGAAUUCUAAUGAAUGACAAAAGGGUUGAUAAAAUCAAUUAGACUAGGAUUUCACUCAUUUUUUUCUUCGUUCUUCCUGAAAAAAAAAGAAAAAAUCAUUUGUACUCAUAACUCAAGUUGGAUAAUUCUCAAAUAGCUCAAAAGAAAAUCAAAUCUUUAAGCAAUUUAUUUCAUUUAUUGAAUGGUCUUUAACCCCCCUUUUGUUUGUCUCGUUUAAAAUACAAUCAUCUAUUUGGAUUUGGAUUCUUUAGUCUGAUCCAGUUAUUGAGACAAUGGAAACGGCGUUUCCUUGUUCUGGGAUCCUUUUUCUUUGUUUUAAAUCAUUGGGUUUAGACAUUACUUCGGUGCUUCUUAAUCCUUCCAACAAAAUGGCAGCAACAUACCCCUUUUGUGAUUUCUUUCUAUCAAAGAAUCAUACGAAUGGUUGAUUCCCCGCGAUACACUUUGAAUCGAAAGAGUUUUAUCAAUUCCAACAAAAUUUCCUUUUGAAUUGAAAACUUGCCCGAAUCGGAUCCUUUCGAUUUCUAUAUUGAUGAUAUAUUUACGAAGUUGUUCCAAUUUAUUGAUUGGCAUUAACCCUAGAUCCUUGCCCCUGAAAGCUGAAUCAAUACUUUACUACUCGAGCUCCAUCAUGUACUAUUUACAUUACAACCCAACAAAAAGAGGGGUUCUAGUGGAACAGAACAAACGAUGUCGGGCCAAGAGCACCUUCAUUCCUAUAUAAAAUGGCGGAUGUAAGAAUAAGAGAAUCCACACCGGAUCGUGUCCUUCAAGUCGCACGUUGCUUUCUACCACAUCGUUUCAAACGAAGUUUUACCAUAACAUUCCUCUAAUUUGGAGCCAGUAUGGAAUUGAUUCAAUUAUGGAAUCAUGAAUAGUCAUUGGUUCAGUCGGUACAUAGCCAUAUUAAUCUAUACCUUUUUUCUUCUAUACAUAGAUGAUUUUUCUGAAGAAAUCUUAGCAAGACCCCACCUUUUAUUGUAUAAAUGCAACUUUUUUUAUAAAAAAACAAACUAACAGAAAUAACAUAACUAACAUAAAUAACACGAAUAAAUGAAUUCUUUUCAACCCUGCAUCUUCAAGUGACUCAAUAGAAGAGAUUGACCCAUCUCCGACUUCUUUGAAUACCAAAGAUUCAACUCAUAAGGAAUCAUUCAAAAUUUUUAUAAUCGAACGGGUUUCCUAUUUCGACAUCAUUUUUGGAAUAAAGUUUUACGGUAAAGACUACACUUGAUCAUCAUAAAAAAAAAGAGAAUCAUCAUAAAAAAAAAGAGAAAUAUCUCUUUCUUUUCGAAUUGAAUCAUCAAUGAUUUAAAGCCGAUAAAUAGAUUGAACAAGAAACCCAAAUUUUUUCGUGAGAUGAAUAAAAAAGACUGAUAUAAGAGAAGAUUUAGGUCCUUAGUCGUUCGAUUCUUAUUUUAUUAAUCAGACGAACGAGUAGGGGUUUUUCGUAUCUAUCAGAUAGAUUGAACAACUGUCACUGUUAUGGAUAUUCUAUGUUUUGGAUAUUCUAUAUUAAAUAUUUCAAUAUUUAAGGGAUUCCAUUUCUUUUUCACAAAAAUGGAAAGGCUGUUGUCACUGAACGUUGUCACUAAAAUAGAACGAAAUCGAAUAAUAAAAAUACAUAUAUAUUACAUAUUAAGUUAAACG
rnacentral:lncRNA from 1 species